UGUGUUAUCAAUUAAUAGUGCCGUUAAACAAAUUUUUCGUUACUACUUAAUAACGAUUGAGAAAUAUUACUAAUAUAAAGUAAUACGAAAAUAGGAUAUAGAGUAAUAUUAUUCAUUUACUCUAUGAAAAUAACAUUAUCAAUACUUUUCUGCACAUGUUCCCCAGAUUUAAUUUUCUGUUAAUUUAAAUUUUUUGAGAAGAAGGCAAGAACUGUUCAUGCACUCAGACCGAUGGGUCCAUUAUGCGCUUCUCUGUUCAUACUAAACAGGUACUACAUAGAAGUAUUGUAACCACAGAUAUAUAUUAUAUAUUAUAAUACAUUUGUGAUUAAAUUAUCCUGCUAUAAAUAUUGACUAUAUAGUUCUAUUUUCUUUACAAUGUUAUUUUGGAUUCCUGCUUGCAUGUUUGUUUAUGUCAAGGUGUAAUGAAUGUUGCCGAAUAUUCACUUUUCUACAAAAUUUUUGUAUUAAAACCAUAUCAUACUACCCGUUCCCGCCAAACAUGUUGUGACUAGUCUAUUAUAUUUUAGUUUGUGGUAUGGAUUAUUCACAAACAAUGAACAUAUUCACAUGUAAUUUGUGAAAACGAGUAUAAAGAGCGAGCGCUAUCUACGUUACAAAUUGUUUACUAUAAUUAAUAGAAUAUAAAAUUGGAUUUUCUAAAAGGUCAGUGUGAACCUGAGUGCGAUAUUUUUUUUUUAUAGAAAUUCCAAAAAAAGGUGAAAUACUCGGCAAAAAUUGAGCUCGAACGACAAUCAUGUUUUUAUAGAUACAUAUAAGUAUUAAGCAUGUUUAAUGAAUACAUUUAUGAGAUAAUUGCUUGUUUAAAAAAAAAAAAUUAAUUUUUAUUUGUUAUAUUUCAGUCGUAAUAAUAUCAUUACCUACAAUAAAAUGGCUUUUAAAAACGCCAACGCCGUUCAUGUGCAUACUGCAAGCGUUUUGACGCGUUUUUACAUAGAAAAUUAGCCCGCCAAAAGCUACAGUAUAAUCAUAACAGUUUCGAAAUUCCUCGUGGAUUUGCUCUGAUUAUUUUUUUAUUUUUUAAAGUAAAAAAUAAGUUAAAAUAAGUAUGGAGACAUUAGAUGAUGUAGAAGUUGCAUGCGUUGUAUACGCCAUGUAUCUUCGUUGUACAAAAAAACAUAAAAUAAAAAAAACAAGUCUUCGUAGACAUUGAGUUCACCCCCUAAAUUUAAAAAGACCUCGAGAUGGUCAAUUUCGAGUUAAUUUUUUAACUUUGAGGAGUUAUCCCGAAGAAUUCUUUAGGUACUACCGUAUGUCUAUACGCUCGUUUGAUGAAUUGUUGGAUCAAAACUUCAAAAAGAGGAUACUUGUUUACGAUUAUCAAUACCACCAGAAGAGCGACAUACAGUUACAUUGAGAUAUUUAGCAACGGGAACAAACUUUUCAGCUCUUCAUUUUGAUUUUUUAAUGGGUCUUUCAACCAUAAGAAACAUUAUACGAGAGACUUGUGAGAUACUUUGGUCAGAGUUACAACCUGUAGAAAUGACUGUAACGAGCAUCGAAGAUUGGCUAAUCAUCGCUGAUGGUUUUUAUAAAAAAACACAAUUUUCUAAUUGCGUUGGUGCAGUAGAUGAAAAACAUGUUCGGAUUGAAUGCCCCAAAAAGAGUGGAACCCUAUACUUUAAUUACAAACAUUUUUAUUCUAUUGUACUUCUUACUGUUUGUGACGCCAACUAUUGUUUCCGAAUUAUUGACGUAUGAUCUUUUGGAAAAGUUAGCGACUGUAAUAUCUUUAAAAAUUCAGCAUUCAGUAAAAAGCUCUAUGCGAAUCAAAUCAAUUUCCCAUCUGAAAAUGUAUUACCCGAAAACAAAAAAGGAACACCCCAACCCUACGUAAUUGUUGGAGAUGAAGCUUUUCGCUUUAAACAAACAUUUGUUGAGGCCUUUUCCAGGAAAAUCGUUAAAUAACGAAAAGAGGAUUUUUAAUUAUCGUUUAUCAAGAGCUCAGCAAAAUAUUGAGUGCUCGUUUGGAAUCUUUUCAAACAAAUGGAAGAUAUUCCAUACCUCUAUAUUGGCUUCUCCGGAUUUUGCAAUAAAAAUAAGAAAGGCAGCAUGUGUUCUACAUAAUUUUGUGCGACGCAGAGAUGGAUAUAAUUCCGAAGAUACCCUUAACUGUAAAAUGGAAAAUUUAAUGAAAAAAAAGUGUUGGAAACGCGCCAUCAGAAGCAAAAGAACUUAGAGAAUAUUAUGUGUGAUACGUCAACUCAGUGGAACAUUCUUUAAGUUGGCAAAAUAAAGUUAUAGGUUAAGUAUAUCUAUAUAAUUUUUAUACUAUAGCGAUUUUCACCAAAU